GGAUUAUUCCUGUACAUGUGGCUCUAACUAGGUCUCCCAACCAAUCAUAAAGGCUGUGACAGGUGAUUCCAGCUUCUAAUUGGGAUGCUUGUCUGAUACUGUGAAAUAGAGUUGUUUGAUGGUGGUUAAAGACUUCAGUCCAUCCAGUCUGCAGGCUAAUGUCCUCUUGGAAGUUUAACAAAAACAUUUGCUGGCUAUUUCAUAGGAAGAUCUCCCAUACUGUCAUGCUUCAAAUGAAAUUGCAUUUUUUGGAAGAUGGAAAAUUAGCUUUAUGGAGUUUUGCAAAAUAAAAUAUGAAAGCAUGAGUCUUUUUGAGAAAUUUGAAAAUUGUACUGUCUGUAUAACAUUUAGUUGUGUUAUGGUUUCUAUUAGGCAGUAAAGGCCUACCUGUGUGAAUAAAAUGUAAUCAAUUAAUUACA
rnacentral:lncRNA from 1 species